ACAUACGACCAUAGGGUGUGGAAAACAGGGCUUCCCGUCCGCUCAGCCGUACUUAAGCCACACGCCGACCAGUUAGUAGUUGGGUGGGUGACCACCAGCGAAUCCCGGCUGUUGUAUGUU
rfam:Aspergillus cristatus strain GZAAS20.1005 Scaffold_Scf_1, whole genome shotgun sequence.